ensembl:piRNA 21ur-3291 ncRNA
UGCUUGUUUCUGCCGCUCUUU